GACUAGUCACAUUUCAGAUGCUUAGUAGCACAUGUGGCUAGUGGCCUAAACAGAUUCAAAGCAAUGUGUCCUGGACCCAACCUUCCUAAACUGGGGGGUUGUAGGUACUCCCUACUCACCCUCUGGGUUGGUGGAGUACUCUAAGGGCAGUUUCCAAACUCCAUGGGAGUUAAAGCCGAAGUGAAUGAUGAGGGAACACCCCGGGCUCAGAUCUGAGGUUUGACAAUGAUAAUGUCUAACUUGUAUAUAGCACUUUCGGUUUUAAUUGUUUAUCUAUGUUAAAUCAUUUAAUCUUCAUAACAGUUUAUUCAUGGCAAUCCUAUUACCAUUCCAGAUUCACAGAUGAAGAAACUAAGGCAAAAGAGAGAUGAAAUAAUUUAUUCAAGACCACACUGCAGUUUUACUUCAGAGUCUAUGCUCCCAUCUACUACGCCAGUGGUCCUCCCGAGACGAAGACUGCCACCAUGUCCCGACUGCUGGCCGCCACACACGAUGGGGUGUCGCUCCAGGACCUCGCUUCAGACGUAAAAAAAGAGUCAAGCCUGAUCCAUCAACUGAUGAAUAGCUAAACAAAAUAUGGUAUAUCCACACAACGGACUACUUAUUAUUCAGCCAUAAAAAGGAAUGAAGUUCUGAUACAUGGACAUAAACUUGGAUGAACCUUGAAACAUUAUGCUAAGUGAAAGAAACCAGAAGAUCAUGUAUUGUAUGAUUCCAUUUAUAUGAAAUGUCCAGAAUAGGCAAAUCCACAGAGACAGAAAGUAAAUUGGUGCUUGCCUAGGGCUAGGGGGAUGGGAAGCUGAGGGGUGAUAGUUAAAGAGUAAGGGGUUUCUUUUCUGGGUGAUGAAAAUGUUCUAAAAU